rnacentral:rRNA from 1 species
CGACCGGCGCACGGGUGAGUAACACGUAUGCAACCUGGCCGUCACAGGUGGAUAACCGGAAGAAAUUCCGACUAAUACAGCAUAACACUCCUGAGGGACAUCCCUUGGGAGUCAAAGGAGGCAACUCCGGUGACGGAUGGGCAUGCGGCGCAUUAGGUAGUUGGUAGGGUAACGGCCUACCAAGCCGACGAUGCGUAGGGGUUCUGAGAGGAAGGUCCCCCACAUUGGAACUGAGACACGGUCCAAACUCCUACGGAAGGCAGCAG